GGAAAUUGAAAUUGAUGAGGGCGCUGGCCGCUCAAUUCCUGCUUCGGAUUCCCCAACUCGGAAUAUAAUCUAUACCGUCGUACAAGCAUCGUCGGGACUUAGAAGAAUUACUUAGAAUUGACCGACGAUGAGCUGUUUCGCGAAUGCGAAAUGGACGCGUACAAAUCGUCGGGACCAGGCGGUCAGCACCGCAAUAAGCGCGAAUCCGCCGUACGUCUCAAGCACGUACCUACCGGCGUCAUAGCGCAUGCCGCCGAAGACCGAUCGCAGCACAAGAAUCGCGCGUCAGCUUUGUAGCGCCUCCGCACUCUUUUGGCCCUCAAAGUGUGGCCGUCAGUGCUUGAUGGCUUAUUUUUAAGUAGCUUUAAAGCAUAUUUGGCUCUUUGUUUAUGAAUAAUGUUCAAUAGCAACCUGCUCCAUUGAUAAGAGAAAUGUAUGAUAUAAUUUUUCAAGAUACCUACCUGCAUUAUGAAUUGUUAUUGGAAGGAAGUACGACAAUAAAUUAAGAGCAAAGACUGAUUUAAAGAUGUAUCUUCAUUAUUACAUGAAAUGUAUGUUCUGCUUCUCAUUCACUUUACCAGAAUUACAAAAGUUUUAUGUUAUUGAUGGUUGGAUUGUUUCUGGGUUAUCCUUGUUAUUAUUUUUUUUGUUUUAAUUGCUUUAGAUACAUUUGAAACAUGAAAAUUUUAAAAAACUUUCCGAUUUGUGCAGGGUAUGAAGCCUCUUAAGUAGGACUUCUUUGGUGCUACUAUUGUGUUCGGCAAAUAUUUUCUUCUUUUAUUUUUCUUUUUUCAGUCACCAUAAUGGGGGUCAUGGUGAAACAACUUACUAAUCACUCUGGACAGGAAUGGGCUUCUAUAAGUAAAGCACACUUAUUUCACUCUUUCCUUAGUACUCACCUAAAGGGGUUAUGGUUGCGACAUGCCUGGAUGGAAACAACCAAUUGUAUCCGUUAGCCAUUGAGGUUAUGGAUUCGGAAAACAAUGAUGCUUAGGAAUGGUUUAUGACGAAAUUACAUGGAGUAAUUGGUGAUACGCCGGAGUUGGUAUUUAUCUCAGACCGAUGCACCGCGAUCAAGAGAGCCGUUUUAAAAGUAUUUCGCUCAGCUGCCCAUGGCAUUUGUUUUUACCAUGUCAAAGACAAUGUUAAGUCAAAAUUCAAGAUGUCGAACUUUAGGUACAACUUUUCCUUUCCUUUUGAAGGCCCACUCCACUGGCAUAGAGAGUAAAAAGAGUUUCUUAUAAAUAAUUUUAGGAGGAUGCUUCUGCCACGACAAGUAAUACCAUAAACAAAUGAUUUCACCACAUUUCAAGAAAGCAUUUAACUUAUGCCUCAUUUUCAUUCUAGCAAUUUGCUUGCCAUUGGCUGAUUGGAAAAAGUGCAUUUAAGUGAUAGAUUACUGUCAACCUAUAGCACGAAUAGGGGUUAAACAAAGUAAAUCCCUAUCUUUACAUGUCAAAUAACAGACUUUCAUAAUAUCAAAUAUCAAAACUCAUGUCUAGUAAAGGAUUCCCCAAUGCUGGCUCUCAAAAUUGCUUUUGUUUCAUGGAUGAGAUGAUCGUUUUUGUGGAUAUUCUGCUCAACUUGGAUUAUGACUUGACUAAAUCUUAGUUGAUUUGCUUUUCCAAACUAAAUCCAAGCAAGUAAGUACAAGAGAUAAAAGCAAAAGUUCAAACAUCUCAUUUGAGCCUGUCACUAACAAAUGGUCAACGAGCAAUGUCUAGCUAUGACUGAGCAACAGAAUCAAUAAACAGACAGACAAAAAAUAAUAAUCAAGUCAUCUGUCAAAUGCUAGUCCAUGAAAAUCAUAUAUAUAUAUAUAUAUAUAUAUAUAUAUAUGUAUGUAUAUGUAUAUGUAUAUGUAUAUGUAUAUGUAUAUGUAUGAUCAUUCAUUUCUCAAUCAACCACCAAAUUGAUGUCAACCAAGCCAGGAGGAUUGUCUCACAAGUCUUUCAAUUUCCCUCUCUUUAGGCCAGAGACCAGUAAACCAUUUGAAAUAUGGAUGUGCAAACCAGUAAAUAAAUCAUGAAGUUACACACUAGUCUGCUUUCGCACUCAUUCAGAACUAUCAAUGAUACUUACUGCAGCGCAGGUACGGUGUAUACAUUAUACUAAAGUGAAGGCUGGAUCAAUAAGAAAUUCAAAAUGUUUCAUCACAUUUGGGGCUUGAUGAUGCCAAAAAAAGACCAUACCAAUUAUGAUGAACAGUAAAAUGUGAACAAGAACAAGCAUACAUUUAAGAAAGCAGAGAAGCAUCAUUAAAAUAAAGUAUUCUUCUUACUAUUCUAUGUUGUUGGAAAAUGGACCAAAAUAAAAAAGAAACCAUGUAUGGUUAACGUCACAACAAGAGUAUUUGUGCAUUUGUACAUCAUAGGAUAUUGGGAAGACAUCAGUAGGGAAGUGCAAAUUUUUUUUUUUUUUUUUGAGGAAAGGAUCAGAGAAGUGCAAGUCAAAAAGGAGAAAAAAUGAAAACAGAGAGAUCAAAAGGAAUGCGAUCUAAUUAAUCGUCUAAGGAGACUACUAUGCUACAUUUAGCCAUUGGUUGAAUAGGCAGCUUGUUUUCUAGUACAACUUUAAAUUUUCCAAGAUUUAGAAUUUUCCUACUGAAGAAAACUAAUUUCUCAAGCUUCUAUUACCAUCUUCAUCCCAACGGUAAGCAGCUCCAUCCACAGCAAUCACUGGCCUCAUGCACUGCAUGAAACCCUUGAUAGAAGAGCCAAUAGCUACAAAAUAGUAUAAGAAAUUAUCAUUUCCAUCUCGCUGCAGGUGAGUAACUGUACCUUCAUUUGCUUUGGUCAAAACAUGAGAGUAUUUAGAAAGUAAGUUAUAUGACUCUGCAGGGUUGCCUCUAACUAUUUCAAGGCCAACUUCUUUGGCCCGAUAUGCUUGCUGAUAUGUUAAUUGGACACCGUAUUCAUGUUGGAUGUCUGCUCUGAUAUCAUUUGGAGUAUAUAUUCGUUUUUCUUGGAUGAACUUGUCCGCAAUAAUAUGACCAACAACCCGACUCCUUACUUGACGAACACCACCAGCCAAUACCUCAUUACAACAAGUGUGUACGUUGUCAACUCUUCUCACUAACCACGGAACAUUCUGCAUAUAGCCUAAUUAUUACACAUGAUAUUUUGCUGCUGCCAUACUACUUACAUGCGAGUGCUGAUUUUUAAACAGAAAUAUUAAACAGAGCACUGACAGAAACAGAGUUAACACCCGACCGGGUUACCGUGUUAAUUGAAAACAAUUAAUUAACAGGACAAAAACACGAUAAAUCUGGUGGUUUUGUAGUUAAUUCUGCCUGCCCUCUGUCAAUUUCUUUAGUAUUUUUCCUCAUAUAUUUGACAUAUUGACCUAUCUGUGGCUGGAAAGAAAAAUGAUUUAAGUAAACUUUCCAAAAUGUUUUAUCAUUAUUUUAUUUCUGAAUAUCAGCAGUGCAUCAUUUUGAAAAUGUAACUGUGGGGUUUCAGGAUCCUCUCGAGCCAGUUUUGUUGUUCACAAAACCCCUUGUGCCAGAAAAAUUGGACGCUGCAGGUAUUGUUCCGCCGUCAGAUUCUUCUACGAGGAAUGGCACUAUAGCACGAACUCACAAAUUUCAUGGAAGAAUUGGCCGAGGGGGGCGGAUAGUAUUUGAUAGAUGUAAUCCUCUUAUGCACUCCUCAACUGAUAGUGGCACGUCUUUUUACUUGCCACCAAAACCCCGCACAUCUAUGUACAGUUAAAUUGAAUACUCGUUUUGUUUAAGCUCCAGCAUUAUUCGUUAGGGAGCCAAGUGUAAUUAUGCUCCGGCUGAUAUUUAUGUAGUUAAAUUGAAUACUUCCAUUGUCCCAGCUCCAGCAAUUAUUUGUUUGGGAAGUCAAGUGUAAUUAUGCCGAGGGCAAGCAAAAUACUAGGCUUGAUGAAUCUUUUCAGGCUUGGUCACAGGUAUUUCAUGACGUGCAUCUUGCCUUAUUCUUUUUAAAGAAAUGACCUUGCCCUUAUUUUCCUUUCAAGUUUAAACUUAAUGAGCUUUUAUUACAUCCUUUAUUGUUGAAAUGCUUGUGCUAAUCAUAGUAUUUUCAAAAUUUUCAGCCCAGUUGAUUAUAAAUUUUGUGUGAAUGUUACAAGAUAAAACUUACCUUUAAAAUGUUAACGAACCUGUAGGAUUGGACUUCUCUUUAAGACCUUGAAUUAAGUGGAGGGUGUUUCGGGGUUAAUAAACCAGGAACUAUGCAUAUACUUGGCCAAUAAGGAAUCCUACUAGUACAGAAUAAGGUUGUACAAGACAGUUAAAUAGAUGACGCAAUGGAGACGUCUCUGUAUCGACUCAAUUCAAACUAAUUGUACAACUUCAUUUCUGAAGGAGUCACCAUUUUUAGUCCCAUUUGGAGAAUGUGUACGUCUGGUGUUAAUGCUUAUAAUGAAAAUGAUGCACUAUGAUGCACUCAGGUUCUUUGUCCUCUCUUCUCUUCUGGUUACUCCAACACUCUUUCUUGACGUGCCCUUUCUUGCCACAGUUGUAGCAUUUAACAUUCUUCUUACUUCUGGAUUUUGAUCUACCCUGAUUUUGACUCCCACUGGGGCCACGUUCCGUUGAUCUCCCUCUCGUCACCGAUAGCGCUUCUGCUUGCUGCGAACUUGCUUGUCUAUUUUCCUUAUUUUUCCGCCUGCUCUCCUCAUUUAAUACGGAGGCUGCAACAUCGUCGAAAACUAGACUCUCCACUGGAUUGUUGUUCGUCAAGUUGAUGAUGAGUUGAUCAUACGAAUCUGGUAGACUUUGAAGUAGAAGCUCUGCACGUUCAUUUUCCUCUAUAUUAUGACCCAACGUUGUGAGUUGUGAAAAUAGAGUCUUCAAGGUGUUGAUGUGGUCGGUCACCAUUGUAGAUUCCGCCAUUCGAAGAGUAUAAAGUCUCCUCUUUAAGAAGAUUUUAUUGUGUAGUGACUUGGCCUCGUACAAUUUUGUAAGAGUAUCCCAUAUUUCCUUCGCUGUGUUUUUCUCUGCCACACUAGAUAAUACUCCAUCUGCAAGUGCCAAGUGUAGAUCAGAAAUGGCGUUGCCGUCUACCUCGUUCCACUUGUCAUCAGUUAUCUCCAUGGGCCUUUCUCCAAUUGUUGCCAAGCAAUUAUUUUUCCUCAAUACAGCUUUCAUCUUCAUUUUCCACAACGAAAAAUUAUUUCCGUUAAAUUUCUCAAUUUCAUACUUUGCCGCCAUUUUGUUGAUAAAUACUGCACACAAGCUAGUAUACCACCUUGAAUAGUUGUGAGUAUGUGUGAGAAUGCACACCAGGAAAGUUCCCAGGAAAGACUGGAGGGGUCACAAUGGUCCCACUUAAAACCCAGACUCCUUAAGCUCUUAUCGCCUUUGUGACAGAACUUUCCUAGACAUGUACAGAACCACACAGUUGCUUUACUCACACCAUUAUUCCCUGCUUUGCACCGCAAAAUUCUUGGAUUGCUUCCACCGUUUCACGUGAAUAGUACCGUAUACGUGAAUAGUGAUGUAUACCGUAUACGUGAAUAGUAUCGUAUACUGUAUACGUAAAUAGUGCCGUAUGCCGUAUACGUGAAUAGUGCCGUACGCCGUAUACGUGAAUAGUGUCGUAUGCCGUAUAUGUGAAUAGUGCCGUAAACCGUAUACGUGAAUAGUGUCGUAUGCCGUAUACGUGAAUAGUGCCAUACGCCGUAUACGUGAAUACGUGAACAAUUCCUGACUCCAAAAAUACAACCAAUGGCUCUGAUACCACUGUUAGGAAAUUGGUGGGUGAAGCAGACACGCAGCUAAAGUAAAAUUGGUAGAAAAAUAAAGAACGAGCACAAUAGAGGACACCAGAAAAUUACGUGGUUCGGCUUUUAGCCUAUGUCCACGGGCGAAGACAGAAGGAAAUAUUUUACUAGUGAAAAGGAGUUACAAGUAUUGUAGUAUUUUAGCUCACUUCCCAAAACCCCAAUACACCCAAACUCUCUCAAUCACUGUAACAAGAGCUUAUAAAUGCAAGCUCUCUAAAUUCUCUCUCAACUUCCUAAAUUGCUCUCUGAAAUGGAAUUAAAAGUACUCUUCAUCUGUACUUCUAUUUAUAGCAAACUAGUGGCCAAGAAAAUCAAAGCCGUGUUCACCAAAUUCUUCAUCAAAAACCGUGUGCAGCAAAUUCAAUCUUCAAACUUUGAACAACUUGUUGUUGACCAUCUAGAUGGCUGCUUCAAACCAUCUAGAUGGCUGGCUGCUUUUGACAUAUGUUUGGUGUUUUUCAAUUUAAAAUUGUGUCUAAUAGUGUAUUUUCAGAAUUGGACUAUAAAAAUAGAAAUAGAGAAAAUGAUAUAAAAUUAAGGUAAUAUAGGACGAAAAAGUAUGGACAAGGAAGCAGUAAUAUUUGGUGUUUUUCAUUUUUUUCAAUAAAAAAAUGAAAACAAAAUUUUCAAUAUCUAUUCAUCAUUUUUUGGGAAAAAAAAAAGAAGCUUAAAGAAUAAAUGAAAGGGCGUUUUAAAACAAAAAUGUGAUUGGUGUUUGAAUAAUGACCCUCUCGGUUAGGCAAAACAGUCACAUAAUCAUUUUUUUUUAAAACACAAACCUUUUGGUUCAGAAAUAAUCACACAAAUCUCAAUCUUUUAGCUAAAAAAGAGUUUGUGUAUCUCAAAAGAGACAUGUGUGACAUUUUCUAAAAACAAAAUAUCUUUAUAGUUAUUUUGCCAAAUCACGUGGUGCCUUUAGAAAUAGGAUAGAUUUUAAUUUGCCCCCAAUUUAAAAUGAAAAUCUUUAAUUUAUCACCCAAAAGUAUAAAAAUAUCAAGUUACCCCAUUUAUUGUUAAGAGGAUUAAAACAAAAAAACCAUCAACACAUUCCUUAUUUGCCCCUCAUCUUUUGGACGGAAAUGAAGAAUAAAUUGAGGUUUACAUUGAGAGCAAAUUAGAGAUUAUCAUUUUAUUUGGGAAUGAAUUAAACUUUAUCCUUAGAAAUAAAAAAUUCAAGAGAAGUACAUCAAAAAAGGUAAUAUAGUUUUCACUUUUUAUGGAGUAUUUGGGUAAGGGUAUUUGCACCCCACUAUUUUUGUAAAUCCACCCUACUUCUAGAAACUAAUUGCAAUGAAUUCACAAUAUUUUUUUAAAAAAUACAAAUUAAUAAAAAUUUUGUAUAGUUAAUCAGUUAAAUCCUUCUAUUAAUUUUUUUCUUGGGUUUUUUGACCAUCUUUAAUCAUAAAAUUUUAAUACAAGUUUUAUUUUAGUAUUUUAUUAUUAUGAUAUAUAGCGACUAAAUUACCAUAAUAAACAUGAGUUAUUUUAAAAUAAAAUGUUGGAGAAAUAUUCAAGGGUAAUAAUAAUUGUGGAAAGAGUGGGACUAUUAGCAGCCCUCUAUAUACCUCUUGAGCCCUGCUUGGAUAGUUACAAUUAUAGAUUAAAUUAAAAUUAUGAUAAUGGACAAACAAGUAGAUAGUCUGAUUGGAUGUGGAAUGAUUUCAUUUGAAUUUCUCUAAAGUUUAAACCAACUUACAUUUUUUCCACAUUGAAAGAGGAAUAGGUGGAAAGGUUAAAAUUGUAAAAGAAUAUUAUAACAGUUUCGAAGAAGAAAUCUUUAUGACGCAUUUUUAACUUGGUGAAAAUUUUCAAUCCCAAGAACUUUAAGCAUACGAAAGAGUGGAUUCUCUCAUUUCCGCCAUUUGUGAGGAUGAUAGUAACGAAGAGAGAACUCACAGAUUUAGUAGUGACGAAGCGAGCAACAGCAGCAGGAGAGAGAUAACAGCAGCACGGAGGAAGAUCAACAGCAGUGAAAGAGACAGAGCAGCAGCACCAGAGUGGUGAAGAAGAGAGAAUAGCAACACGUGCCAAAGAUGGAGAAAAAGAGCGAUUAGAUCUAUGAUAAGGGAGAGUGAAUGGGAAGAUCGCGAUAAGAUUUUAGGCGAGAGAAAUAGCGGUCACGGAUAAGCCUUGGAUUCUCUAUUUUUUGAUUUAUUUUAGCUUUAUAUUUGUAAUUCAUUGAGAAUAAGUUAUACACGUUCUCAAAUUUAUAACUAUAAAAGAAGAUAUGAAUUAUUUGUUUUACAAUUUGUUUUUUGAAUUUCGGCCAUCAAUCGCGCAUUAACUUAGAUUUAUAAAAGGAAAAUGAAAACAGGGCCCAUAAAUAUUACCGAACAUGCCCUAAUAUUCUCCACUAAUGUGCCAUUUUAACCUCCUACAAAAGAGCUCCCAACGGCGUGGUUGGGUUAGUUGCAGUGAAGUUAUAUCCUCUACCAAAACUCGGGUUCGAUUUUUGGGGUUGGUAAGGAGGGUAAAAAUUGUAUUUGGGCUUGCCCACCCCCCGUACCUUUAAAAAAAGUUUAAAAAAAAAAACCUCUUACAAAAGCGGCUACUCAGAAUUCAUAAUUGACCUCAGAACUGCAGAUCAUACGAGAACCCACCAAUAAUGAAUAGGCGCUUAAUGCAUUUGUUUCGAUUGUGAUAGGCCUACUAGGGCCGAACCUAGUGCAAUCGAUGCCAAAAAAUGUCUAUAUAUACCUAUACUAGUUUUAUGGGGUGUUGAGGAUCCAUUCACCCUCUUUGAUGGACCUGCUGGUUAAUACUCCUCAUUUCUACCUUCUUAACUCUCAAAUGUGCAAGUUAAUUGUAUUGGAAGGAGUGGGACAUCAUCCCCAUGACGACAGACCCAAGGAGAUCCAUGAAAAGCUGCUUUCUCGGUUGGCUGAAACAUUUAAGUGCUGAGGAAUUUACUUUCUCAUCUGCAAGUUUUGAUGAGCAUUAUUUAUUAUUCCUAAUGUAAAAUGACAAACAACUCUUGUAUUUAUAGUGUUAUAUUUUUUUUUAUUCAACCGCUUGAAUAUCUUUUGGCAUCGAAAGAAUGUAGGAGAAACUGAUCCCUGACAAGUUGUAAAAGCUCCAAAUUGAUUCAAGAAAUGUACCAAAUUAUUCAAUAAAAAGUCAAAUUCAGCACAAUAAUAAAGAACAAAUUAAUCUAUAUUGCUCAUGUUAAUGAUAUGUGAAUGAUAAGAUUCAAUUUUUCAUAUGAAAAAGAUACAAUAAUCUAAAUAGAAAUAAAGGUUCAUGGGCAUCUUUAACCUUUCCUUACAAGCUAGUUUUUUAAAGGUAAAUUCUACCCAUAGAUGAUACCACGUCAACUAUGGAAUCAAAUGAAACAUUUCGAAUAUGGAAUUGGUAUAAAUACUUGAAAGAGUGGAUACAUGUUUGUUGAUACAUAAAUCUAGUUGAGCUAUGUAGCGACCAGACAACCAGGCCAACACUUAAAUUUGUUGUUAUUGGAGAGACGGUUCUAUGCUAUUUCCUCACUAUCGAAUAAGUUCUUGCGACCUCAAGUACUUCCUUCAAGAACACCUACGUUUAUAACAUCUAGUUAGAGGAUGCCUGAGGUUUUUCCGGCGUGAACCCUCCGACGCUUAAGUGGGCGAUCUGGGUCUACUUGAAAAAACUCGUGACAUGAUUCACGUGACUUAAUUACAACUACUCUGAAUGAAAAAAAGGUUUAAUUUCAUAAAAAAGGAAAAAUAGAGAAGAUAAAAUUGUGAAUAGAGAGAGUAUGAAAAAAUUAAGUAAAAAAUUAUCUAAACCCCUUACCUCUAUUCUCUAAAGCUUUAAUAUCCAACCAAAAUUAUCGGCCUCCUCUCUCCCCCAACACCGUUGCUGGGUUGGUCACAUAACUGUGGGAGAGUAGGUAGCGUAACUGCUAGUGAGUGGGCUUCAUGCUCGAAUUCUUUGGAGGAAACCCAUGGGUUGACCUUUAACCAAGUCGUCGAUUUGACUUAACUCUAGUCUCUCCUCGUGCUUCCUCGAGCCGACUUUGCUCAUGUGACCAGCCACACACCUCAUCGGGGAUAAUCUUUCUCGAUGAGUCAUUUUAGGCCGAGGGGAGCACAUUUUGCUCAUGUGUGCCUGAUCAUGAUGUUUUUCACCCCAAAAUAGAUGUUUAAGCAAACUGAUUCAUAGAAAAAUUGAGUUGGUGAAAAUGACAUCUAUCAUGUUCUUUUUUUUAAAAUCAAUAUACAAAUAUGUUUUUUAAAAUAUAUAAGAUUUAACGGAGUUUAACUGUUCCCUCUUUAUUGCUUUUGCUUCCACAUGAUAAAACUUUCCCAUAUACAACAAUUUAGAUUUAACAAAAUAUAAAAUUUUCAAAUGUGAUUGCGUUAUAUACAUGAGAGUUGAUGUAGUGCGCAACGGGAUGAGUGGCAUGUGUUCAUUGGUUGAGAUAUGGGCCAACAACAUACUCUGUAAGAACUCGUUGCGCGUCCUGUAAUAUUCCAUGCCGCUGGCAAAUGAGUUUUUUCACUAGUUUAUAAUUCACAUGCUCACCUAAGUAGAUGUGUUUUGGGUUGCAAAGUCCAAUAACAAAUCGUUGUGGGUGGUGUGUGCAGAGCCAGAAAGAAGGCCAAUAGUUUUAAUUUUACAAUAUACAUCAUGUGCUUUUCAUACAUUAUACUCUUCACCUAAUAAGGUAAAGUUCAAUACUCUAGUGUGAAUUUGAAAGAAAGUUAAAAGCUGUUUGUUUCAAGAGAAAAUUUACAGAGGAAAAUUAAAGUUCUUAUUUCUUUUACUCUUUUUCCAUUACUUAACAACUGAACAUAUACAGCUUAUAUACUCGAAGAUAUUUACAUACACAUGCUAAAGGAACUAGUAACAAACAUUAACAACUUAUGCUGACUUAUUAAUUCCCGUAACUAAUUCUGCUGAUCUGGCACUGAUGAGCUGGCACAAUUAACUUGCUUCACUAACUAAGACUGAGAACUUCUUUGCCUUCCUGUUCUUCAUAAACGCAGCACAAUGAGCUUCCCUAAUAGAAUUUGCGUUACAUGCACCAGAUCCGUCGAAAGUUAUAACAUGAAUGUUUUGUUCCAAGAACUGAUUUUGGCACUUUCUUCUAUUAUUAAUAGUGAUUUGAAAAAGGAAAACAAUAAAAAUACAUUCAUGAAAAUCUCAGUCUUCUUCGUUAUAGUUGAAACAUCUGCUUGGGUCUUCCAUUGAAUUCGUAGAGUCUGCAAUGCCAAAAAAUUGGAUCCCACAUUUUUUCACUCCGCAACACUCACACUCCAAAGGUGGAAAAACAUUAAAGUGGAUUGUCUCAGGAAAGCAAUUGCAUUUCCAAAAACCAUUAAAAUCCUCUUCAUAGAACAAAUAGUAUCCCAAAUGUAAGUGAUCUGAUUCUAAAUAAUUAACUCUUCUUUGAAAUAACAGUGUGUCAUGCGGAUCACAAUCUUUGGUGGUUUCCACUUUGAGCUCACAAGAAAAUGAAAACCAUCUACCAUAAUCUACAUGACGGCCUGAAAAUCCUAAAAUAGCACCAAAUGCAAAGCCCAGUACUCUGUUGUUAUUGAAGAAAUCUGGGGGCAUCUCUAACGUUAUAAAAGAUCCCACACUUUGAAAAUUAAACCACCUUGGAAUUUCAUUCCCAGCUAGUACGUAAUGGCCUUCCUUGGGAAAACCUCUCUAUACCAAAAGAUCAAAAUUUUAAACCCAAAAAAAAGGUAUAAAUUGUAAGGAGAAAGAAUUAAGACACACCUUUUCCCGUACUUCUUUCCAAUGGGCAGGUACCACAUGGCCCAUAUAUUGAAUUCUCAUGUCAUCUUCAAUAAUUCCUGCAGUAGUAUUACCUUGCAAUUAAAAAUUAUUGCUCUAGUAAAAAAACAUUGCCUAUAAGAUUCAGAACUUAGAGAAUAAACCUGUUAAUGAUUGUGGUGCCGAGUAAUGAUCGGCAUCUAACCAUCGUACAAGGAAUAGAGGCUUUGGUAAGGAUUGAAGCCCCUCACAAUAAUCGAAGAGGAUGUAUCGCAACAUAAAUUGUUGGAUAAUGCUUUCUGGUAUUCUCUCAAUAUUGGUUUUCAAUAGAUUCACUACUAAUGGCGACGAUAACUGGCCAAGCCAUUCGGGCAAUCUCUGAAGAUUUGAGCAACCACGGAGACUAAGAAGUUCAAGAGACUUCAACUUACAGAGGCUGCUUGGGAGACUCUUAAGCCUUUUACAAUCCGAAAGGUCUAACAACCAAAGCCUAAGUAGAAGCUCAAAUGAUGAGGGCAGUUCUUCAAUUGCAGUUCCACUUAAAAAUAGCCGGCCUAUGUUACCAGAUGAGAUCUCUGGAAGCCUCUUCAACUUUGAACAACCCGAAAGAUCAAGUUCGGUAAGAAAUUCCAAAUUAAACAUUCCAGCUGGAAGACUUUUCAGGGUUUUGCUACCGCUUAGAUUCAAGAUAACUAGCUUGUUCAGAUGUGGAAUCAACGUGGGGUUUAGAGUUUUGGGAAUUAGCUUCUUGCAGGCAGCAUGGAUUAGCUGGUUUAACUUACUAUAAUGCUGCUCGGUCAAAAAAGAGGCAAAGAUAAAAUCAUUAUUAUGCAUGAUAAUUUAAUGUUCUUAUUGAAAUAUUGCACAUAUAUAUUAAGAUAAACAUACCUUCACACCAUUCCAAAGUUGUUCAAUGUCGCUAUUAGGCACUUCAAGAAACACAAGCUUCUCUGCACUAUGGUUUGAAGGCAAUGACUUCAACGGAUAUCCAUGCCAGUGAAGAUAUUUCACUUCAGCAAAUCUGAGGUCUUGCAAAUGAGACACCUUGCAUUUGUUCUCCCCAUUGAAUGAUGAACUAUAGAAUUUUAAAAAUCUCAAUUUACGCAUCUUUGCGAAAGUAAUGGGAUUUAGAUGGAUCUCUUUUACUUUUGCCAUAUCCAAACAGAUGCCCUCAAUUUUUUCUGUCCCCUAAAAAUAAAUAGAAAAAUCAAUAAAGUUAACAUCAAAUGAAAAAUGAUAUUUAUAUUCCACUAGUGAUUAACACUUCAGCUCCACCAAGACAAAUUUUUGGGGCAAGUUUGUCACUCAUUCACAAUUAAAGGUAGCUUAGUUAUUAAUUCAACUUUAAUUUGUCCUUGUGUGGAGUUUAUGUCAGAUUGGAGUGGGGUUCUCCAUCAUUACUCAAAUUAAAUUUCAAUAAUUCAUGUUUAUUGUUAUUGCUAGGCAGUUAAACUCUUAAUUGCAAAUGCACAAAGAAACAUAAUAGUACAAGUAAUACUUAACAUAAAAAUUCUGUAUGUGUACUAUACAAAUUUAUAUAUCAAUUAUGCUUGAAAACGGUUAUGCAAGUUGUCAACCGCAUUUAUAAUUUAUUGCUACAUCACCUAACCACUAUUGUUUUUUCCGAUCAUUGUGACUCUUGUAUUAAUUCUAAGACUCAUUUGUUCGAGCGUAAAUAAAUAUAUUCACAUCAAGUUUUGAAACACUACAAUAUUCCAAAAUAAUAAUCCACAACAAGCUGCUUACCGUAUUAUACGUAAGAACUUCAUAGAUAUCCUCAUGAUGCCACAAUCUACUGCGGUUUUCAGGAUUAAUUGAUUCUUGUCGAACAAUUUCCCUACCCAAUUCUUGUAGUAAAUCAUGCAUUGUUAUCUUUUUGUGUGAAUCAAUAGCGAUGAGAGACUUAUCAACAAGAACACUUAUUCCUAUUUCUGGGUAGAAGCCGCUUGCAUUAAAGAAUUUCAUUAUAGGAUUUACAUGCUCACCUCGAAAGAAACAAGCAACAUCAAGGAAAAUACUUUUCUCUUUAUCGUCCAAAUCAUCAUAACUUAUUUUUAAUACCUCUAGAAUACUUGGAUGGAGGAUUCUUUGCAAUUUAUCUAUUGCGCUUUCCCAGACUUCUUUUUCCCUUUUAUGUAGAAAGCAACCCAAAACUUUAAGAGCUAAAGGAACACCUUGUGCAUAUUUCAUUACUUUGCUUGAAAAAUCCUCAUAACCAACAUCAGGAUGGUUUUGUUUGAAGGCAUGUCGACUAAAAAGCUCAAGAGCGUGAUGAUAUUCUAAUGCCUGCAUCUCAUAAAUUUUCCUCACCCCCCAAUUUCGAAGCACUUGUUUAUUUCUGGUGGUUAUUAUAAUUCGACUCCCAGGCGUCAACCAAUCAAGACUUCCGAUUAAGGAUUCUAAUUGGUUGAAGAAAGUCACAUCAUCAAAAACAAUCAGAACCUUCAUACGGCUGAGCCUUCUAAAAUUGAGGUCAAUAUAAGGCAUCACAUCUUUAUCCUUCAAUAAAUUUGAAAGAAGUUUUUGUCGUAAGCAAGCUAAUCCUCCUGGUCUUUGUGACUCUUCUCUAACAUUUUCGAGGAAGCAAGAACCUUCAAAAUCACCCGAGAUUUUGUCGAAAAUAGCUCUAGCAAUUGCUGUUUUGCCUAUACCACCAAUGCCCCAAAUCCCUAAAGCAUAAACAUCUUUCGACUCAACACCUAAUAGGGAUUCAAUUUCCUCAACUGUUGAUUCCACUCCAACCAGCUGGUUUUUGUUAUCACGGGGCUGAAACACUUCAUCCAAUCUCUUCAAAAUGUGAUUAACAACUUCAUUUGUAAGUUCCGACUCACACCUAGCAAAUACAUAAAAUUAGCCAAAGUAACUUCAAAUUAAUACGAGGAAUUUGCAUUAAGUAUGAAGUAAGGGAGAUUGUCAGUUUUCUUAUUGAAAUUAAUAUAUACCACCACUAGUCUACAAUCUCCCAGUAAAUUAAUAACUCUUAAAUUACAGGAAUAUGUGUGAGUUUUUUUUUUUUUUGGAAAAAUUAUCACUGCACUACCUCUCUUUUGUCUUAUAUUCAUCCAACCACCACAAAAUUAUAACAUAUUCUUUACACCACCUUUUUUUUUUAAAUUUAUAUCAAUUAGCCACUUUUGCACUAACACCGUUAAAUAAUUUAAACAAAAUGAUAAAUUUACCUCUAAAUAAACUAAAAGAUCAUUUUAUUUUAUAAAAGCUUGGAAAAAUAAAAAAAAAUUAUAAUUAAAAAAAUACCCCUAAAUUUAAUAAAAAAAAUCUCAAAUAGAGGUGCUCAGCUAAUUUUAAUUAAAUUUAGAUUUUAUAAAAUUUUAAUAAUUAUGUUUUAUUAAAAAUUAUAAUUUUGUAAUAUUUUAAUAAAAAUAACUGAAUUUAUUAUUAAAAAAUUAUAAUUUUGUAAAAUUUAAUUAAAAUAACUGAAUUUAUUUAUUAAAAAAUAAAUCCUAAAAUUUUAAUAAUUUAGGGGAUUUUUAUUAAAUCCCAAAAUUUUGUAAUUAUUUUUAUCAUUUUAAUUUUUUAUUAAAAUAAUUUUUAUUAUAAUAUUGGGAUUUAUUUUUUAAUUAAAUUUAGGGAUAUUUUUAUAAUUAUAAUUUUUUUAUUUUCUUAGUUUUUACAAAAUAAAAAUGGUCUUUUAAUUUAUUUAAUGGUAAAAUUUUCAUUUCAUUUAAAUUAUUUCAUGGUGUUAGUGCAAUAGUGACUUAUUGAUACAAUUUUUUUUUUAAAAAUGUGGUGCAAAGAACAUGUUAGAAUUUUGUAGUGAUUGGAUGAACAAUAGGUAAAAGGAAGGUGGUGCAAUGAUAAUUUUUUUUUUUUUUUUUUCCUAAUGGUGGUGUAUGAGUGAGAGGUUGCAAUUGCUUAAAAACCGACAGACCACCACUAAUUUUGUUAGAUGUAUAUUGUAAAAUUCUCGAGCUUUUAUUAUUAAUUCUUUCAAAAUUAUUUUAUAAUUAUGGGAGCACAAAAGUGGGGAAGUCAGGAAGUCUAGAAUUUGAUGCUUAAAAAUUUUUAAAAUUGUAGUUUAGCAUCCGGAAAUUUAACUAAGAGUGCUGCGUGAAUUUUAUUUAUUGUUAAAUAUUAGUAUGAGAAAUUAAAGGUUUAACUUUUCACCUGAUGUUAGGAGAAUGAAAUCCACACAAACUUGCUGCUUCCUCCAAAGCAUUCCUCCAACUCUGCAGCUUCUCAGUAUUCUCCUUUAAUCUUUCUUCAAGCUUCGAAAAUGAAUCUCCAAAACUCCCAGUUUGGUUUCUCACGUCUGAUGGAUCAACCCGAUAGAAAACCGGAAUCACAAUCUGUGCAUACUCCUUCUUGCAGUCGAGGAUCUUUACAAGUUCAUCGAGACACCAUCUGGAAGAUGCAUACCCUUCUGAGAAGACGAUAACUGAAAUGGCUGAUGCUUCAAUUGCAUUCACAAGUGACUCUGAAAUUUCAUCUCCUCUGUUAAGUUGGUCAUCAAUGAAAGUUUGGAUAUUUUGUCGACACAGAGCAGAAUAGAGAUGGCUAGUAAAGUUGUCGCGGGUGUCCUCUCCUCCGAAACUAACAAAAACAUCAUACUUCUUGUUGUUUCGAGAAGAAGAAGCCAUAAUCAACAGAAACAGUUGAAUUGAUUAGAGAGAGAUUUUGAUUCGGAUGAAAACAAUUAUUGAACCAAAUGUGAGCGACUCUGUAGAAUAAAUCGAUGCCAUGAACCUUCCUUCAAGUUCCUUGAUAAUUUUUCAAUUUCGUCUCAUUGUCCAAGUACCGUGCACUCCACGAUGAUUGAUUAAUUCCACUGCUUUGUAGACCUCUAGCUGAAAAUUCCACAUGAACACCAGACUUUUCAACACACGGCUUCUGUGCUUUCAUACUCAUAACUAUCAGCAACGAGGGGCUGAUAUUUUAGUUUUUAUCCUCAAUUUAUCUAAAUUGGCAAGACGCAUUUUAGGGUGUAUAGGCACUCUAAAAACAAAAUCGUGCAGACCUUGUUAAGGCCCAAAGCUACACAAUGUAGGAGAGAAGGCCAAUAAUUUUAAUUUUACAAUACACAUCAUGUGCCUCUCAUACGUUAUACUCUUCAUCUAACAAGGUAAAGUUCAAUACCCCUCGAAAGUUAUUACAUGAAUAUUUUGCUCCAAGUACUGAUUUGGACAUUUUCUCCUAUUAUUAAAAGUGAUUAGAAAAAGGAAAGAAAUAAAAAUACAUUCAUGAAAAUCUCAGUCUUCUUCGUUAUUGUUGAAACAUGUGCUUGGAUCUUCUAUUGAAUUCGUAGAAUCUGGGAAGCAAAAAAAUUGGAUCCCACAUUUUUUCACCCCGCAGCACUCACACUUCAAAGGCGGAAAAACAUUAAAGUGGACUGCCUCAGGAAUGCAUUCGCAUUUCCAAAAACCAUUAAAAUCCUCUUCACAGAACAGAUAGUAGCCCAAAUGUAAGUGAUCUGAUUCUAUAUAAUUAACUCUGCUCUGAAAUAACUGUGUGUCAUGCGAACCACAAUCUUUAGUAGUUUUCACUUUGAGCUCAAAAGAAAAUGAAAACCAUCUUCCACAAUCUACAUGACGGUUUGAAAAUGCUAAAAUAGCACUAAAUGCAAAGCCAUGCACUCUGCUACUAUUGAAGAAAUCUGGUGGCAUCUCCAAGGUUAUAAAAGAUCCCACACUUUGAAACUUAAACCACUUUGGAAUUUCAUUCCCAGGUAGUACUAUAUGAGCUUUGCCCAUGGAAAAACCUCUCUGUACCAAAAAAACAUAAUUUUAAACCCAAAAAAACAAUUGUAGAAAUUUUAAACAAAGAGAGUUAAAGACACACAUUUUCCUGUAUUUGUUGCCAACGGACAGCUAGCUUAUGGUCCAUAUGCGGAAUUCUCUCGGGAUCCACAACAAUUCCUGCAGUAUAAUUGCCUUCCAAUUUAAAAUUAUUGCUCCGGUAAAAAAAAAUUGCCUAUAAGAUUCAUUACUUAGAGAACAAACCUAAAAAUGGUUGCAGUACCAGGCGACGUCGUUCAAGGAAUGGAAGCUUUGGUGAGGAUGGAAACCUUUCACUAUAACUUAAGAAGAGGUAUCGCAACACGAAAAGUUGGGUAAUUCUUUUUGGUAUUCUCUCAAUAUUGGUUUUCGCUAGAUUCAAUAAUAUUGGCGAGGAAAAUUGGCCAAGACAUUCGGGAAAUCUUUGAAGAUUUGAGCAACCACAGAGAGUAAGAACUCCAAGAGAUUUCAACUUACAUAAGCUGCUUGGGAGACUCGUAAGCCUUUUACAAUAUGAAAGGUCCAAGUACUUGAGCCUAAGUAGACGCUCAAUUGAUGAGGGCAGUUCUUCAAUUGCAGUCCCCCUUAAAAAAAACCAGCUUAUAUUACCUGAUGAGAUCUCUGGAAGCCCUUUCAGUUUUGAGCAGCCCGAAAGAUCAAGUUUGGUAAGAAAUUCGAAGUUAAAUAUUCCAGAUGGAAGACUUUUCAGGUUUUUGCUACCUCUUAGAUUCAAGAUAACUAGCUUGUUCAGACGUGGCAUCAACGUGGGAUUUGGAGUUUUGGCAAUUAGCUUAUUGCAGGCAGCAGGGAUUAUCUGGUUUAACUUGCUAUAAUGCUGGUCGGUCAAAAAAGAGGCCAAGACAAAAUCGUUACCACGUAUAAUAAUUUAAUGUUGUUAUUGAAAGAUUGCACAUACAUAAUAAGAUAUGCAUACCUUCACACAAUCCCAAAGUCGUUUAAUGUCACUAUCAGGCACUUCAAGUAACACAAGUUUCUCUGCACUAAGGUUUGAAGGUAAUGACUUCAACGGAUAUCCAUACCAGUGUAGAUAUUUCACUUCACCAAAUCCCGGAUCUUGCAAAUAAGAUAUCUUACAUUUGUUCUCUCCAUUGAAUGACGAACUAUAGAACUUUAAAAAUCUCAAUUUAGGCAUUUUUGUGAAAGUAUUAGGAUUUAGACGGAUCUCUUUUACUUUUGACAUAUCCAAACAGAUGCCCUCAAUUUUUUCUGUCCCCUAAAAAUAAAUAAAAAAAAUAAAGUUAAAAUCAAAUGAAAGAUGAUAUGUAUAUUCCACUAAUGAAUUGCACUUCAACCCCACCAAGAAAAACAAUUUGGGGCAAUUUUGUCACUAAUUUACAAUUAGAGGUAACUUAGUUAUUAAUUCAAUUUUUAUUUAUUCUUGCAUGGAGUUUAUGUGGGAUUGGAGCGGGGCUCUCUGUCAUUACUCGAAUCAAAUUUCAAUAAUUCAUGUUUAUAGUUAUUGCUACGCAGUUAAGAAACAUAAUAACACAAGUAAUAAUUAACAUAAAAAUUCUGCAUGUGUAAUAAUUUUACAUAUCAAUUAUGCUUGCAAACGGUUAUGCAAAUUGUCGUCGCAUUUAUAAUUUAUUGCUACGUCAUCUAACCACUAUUGUUUUUUCUAAUCAUUGCCACUCUUCCAUUAAUUCUAAGACUCACGAGUGCGAGCGUAUGUAAAUAUAUUCACAUGAAGUUUUUAAACACUACAUUGUUCCAAAAUAAUAAUACACAACAAACUACUUACCGUAUUAUACGUAAGAACUUCAUAGAUAUCUUCAUGAUGCCAGAGCCUACUGCGGUUUUCAGGAUUAGUUGAUUCUUGUCGAACAAUUUCCCGACCCAAUUCUUGUAGUAAAUCAUGCACUGUUAUCUUGUUGUAUGAAUCAAUAGCAAUGAGAGAUUUAUCAACAAGAACACUCAUUCCUAUUUCUGGGUAGAAGCCACUUGCAUUAAAAAAUUUCAUUAUUAUAUCUACAUCCUCACCUUGAAAGAAACAAGCAACAUCAAGGAAAAUAUUUUUCUCCUUAUCGUCCAAACUAUCAUAACUUAUUUUUAAUACCUCAAGAAUACUUGGAUGGAGGAUUCUUUGCAAUUUAUCUAUUGCACUUUCCCAGACUUCUUUUUCCCUUUUAUGCAGAAAGCAACCCAAAACUUUAAGAGCUAAAGGAACACCUUGAGCAUAUUUCAUUACUUUGCUUGAAAGUUUCUCAUAACCAACAUCAGGAUGGUUUUGUUUGAAGGCAUGUCGACUAAAAAGCUCAAGAGCGUGAUGAUAUUCUAAUGCCUGCAUCUCAUAAAUUUUCCUCACCCCCCAAUUUCGAAGCACUUGUUUAUUUCUGGUGGUUAUUAUGAUUCGACUCACAGGCGUCAACCAAUCAAGACUUCCAAUUAAAGAUUCUAAUUGGCUGAAGCAAGUCACAUCAUCAAAAACAAUCAAAACCUUCAUGCGGCUGAGCCUUCUAAAAUUGAGGUCAAUAUAAGGCAUCACAUUUUUAUCCUUCAAUAAAUUUGAAAGAAGUUUUUGUCGUAAGCAAGCUAAUCCUCCUGGUCUUUGUGACUCAUCUCUAACAUUUUCGAGGAAGCAAGAACCUUCAAAAUCACCCGAGAUUUUGUCGAAAAUAGCUCUAGCAAUUGCUGUUUUGCCUAAACCACCAAUGCCCCAAAUCCCUAAAGCAUAAACAUCUUUCGACUCAACACCUAAUAGGGAUUCAAUUUUCUCAACUGCUGAUUCUAGUCCAACCAGCUGGUUAUUGUUAUCACCCCGCCGAAACACUUCAUCCAAUCUCUUCAAAAUGUGAUUAACAACUUCAUUUAUAAGUUCCGACUCACGCCUAGCAAAUACAUAAAAUUAGCCGCGGUAACUUCAAAUUAAUUAAUAGGAGGAAUUUGUAUUAAUUAAGGUAGAUUGUUAGUUUUCCUAUUGAAAUUAAUAUAUUCCACUAUAAGUCUACAAUCUUACAAUUAAUUGAUUAACUCUUAAGUUACAGGAAUAUGUGUGAUUUUUUUUUUAAUGGUGGUAUCUGAGUGAGAGGUUGAAAUUGCUUGAAAAACUACAAAGCACCACUAAUUUUGCUAUAUAAAAAUUGUAAAAUUCUCGCGCUUUUAUUAUUAAUUCUGUCAAAAUUAUUUUACAUGAGCACAAAAGUGGGGAAGUCAGGAAGUUUAGAAUUUGAUGCUUAAAAUUUUUAAAAUUGUAGUUUAGCAUCCGGAAAUUUAACUAAGAGCGCUGCGUGAAUUUUAUUUAUUGUUAAAUAUUAGUAUGAGAAAUUAAAGGUUUAACUUUUCACCUGAUGUUAGGAGAAUGAAAUCCACACAAACUUGCUGCUUCCUCCAAAGCAUUCCUCCAACUCUGCAGCUUCUCAGUAUUCUCCUUUAAUCUUUCUUCAAGCUUCGAAAAUGAAUCUCCAAAACUCCCAGUUUGGUUUCUCACGUCUGAUGGAUCAACCCGAUAGAAAACCGGAAUCACAAUCUGUGCAUACUCCUUCUUGCAGUCGAGGAUCUUUACAAGUUCAUCGAGACACCAUCUGGAAGAUGCAUACCCUUCUGAGAAGACGAUAACUGAAAUGGCUGAUGCUUCAAUUGCAUUCACAAGUGACUCUGAAAUUUCAUCUCCUCUGUUAAGUUGGUCAUCAAUGAAAGUUUGGAUAUUUUGUCGACUCAGAGAAGAAUAGAGAUGGCUAGUAAAGUUGUCGCGGGUGUCCUCUCCUCUGAAACUAACAAAAACAUCAUACUUCUUGUUGUUUCGAUAAGAAGAAGCCAUAAUCAACAGAAACAGUUGAAUUGAUUAGAGAGAGAUUUCGAUUCGAAUGAAAACAAUUAUUCAAUUUCAUGAACCUUCCUUCAAGUUCCGUGAUAAUUUUUCAAUUUCAUCUCAUUGUCCAACCACCGUGCACUCCACGAUGAUUGAUUAAUUCAACUGCCUUGUAGACUUUUAGCUGAAAAUUCCACACGAACACCAUACUUUUCAACACACGUGCUUCUGUGCUUUAAUGCUCAUAACUGCCAGCAAUAAGUAGGGUGAUAUUUUAAUUUUUAUCUCUGAAUUUAUCUUAUCCGUCCUCAUCUCUCAAUUAAUUGUAUUUAGUUUCCAAAUUAUUCUUUUUUUUUGUUUUAAUAGCUCUUAUUCAUGUUCCUUAGCGUUUAAAGUCUAAAAAAAAUUAGUUAUUUAUUUUUUAUAACUUAUAUAUGAUUUUUAAAUAUUUAUAUUUAAAUUAAAAAGUAAUUUUUUUUUGUGACCUUUGCCUAAAUGAGAAAAUGUUUCAAUGAAAAAUAAAUACUAUAUUCUAAGAAUAUUUCUAUUCAAUAUUGUUAUUUCCUAAACUAUAUUGUCAUAUGUGGCUAAUUGUCAAAGCAAUAGCAAGCUGUUAGCUUAAAGCAAAGCAUAUUCAUGCUUCACCCAUGAGAAUACAACCAAUUCUAAUGCAUGUAUUGUGACGCACGUGCAAACUAAAAGGAGGCACAUGGGUUAAUUGUCAAAGCAAUAGCAAGCUGUUAGCUUAAAGCAAAGCACGUGCGUGCUUCAUCAAUAGGAUCUGUGAGUGGAUUAUUAUUAUUAUUAUUACUAUUAUAUAUUUCACAAAACAUUUAUGUUUGAUAGUAUGAUUUAGUAUAAUGUUAUGAUUAUAUGUACGUACAUUAUAUGAUUGACUGAGUCAUGAGAUGUAAUUGACAGGCACCAUAUGUGUACAUUUCCUCAUAGGCUCUACGCAUACGUAUUGAGAGUUAAAUUACUCGACCCUUGUGAUAUUGUAAAUUCUACUGAGUAUUGAGAGGUUUUUCUCCCUUUUUUACUCGUGUGAUGAUGAUCCCAGUGAGUAUUGAGAGUUAUUUUCCCUGUAUAUUAUUUGGUGCAAUUUUGUCAUGUGUGUAUAUACGAGUUCAUGUUUGCUUUUGUAAAGCGUUCAGUGUAAAGUUAUGUCAUACAAUUAUGACGAGCACUAAAGCACUAAUUUAUUUUUAUAUAUAAUUAUAUUCAUUCAUUGAGCCGCAAGCUUACUAUUUUCCUAUUUACCCCAUUUCUCUAAGGUUUCCAUAGGAUUUCGUGUAUUUCAAUUUCUGAUCAAUUGAGGUUGGGCCACGACACGCAUUACUGCACGAAUUACAUUUUGACCACGUUUAUAUUUAUAUGUAUAUUUUUGAAGUGUAUGUAUGUUCAGUGAGAUAUGAACUAUGUAAGUUUUUAAUAAAUUUUUGAAUGAGGCACAUAGAUUAUUAUAUGUUUAUAACAAAGGCCAAGGCUAGUGUUAUAUAUUCAUGAAUUAAGUUUAUGUCAUGAGCUUUAGAUAUAAAAUUGCAUGAUUCACCCCAGAUCCAACAGAAGGGUUGAGGUGAUUUGUGUCAUGUAUGAUAUGUACAUAUUUAUAUUCAAUAUAACCACCAUUUGAAUGAUAGUUUUUUAAAAUCAGUGCACAUGUGUCGUAUCAUAACUCACUUGUUGUAUGGCUAACAUGGUACUUCUGAUAUAAUCUAAAAUUUCUUCCUUAGUUAGAGGCAUUUGUUUUAAAAUUUUAUUUAAAAGAAGGUCAUUUUAAAUUUCAAAAUGUAAAGUGUAUUUUCUACAACACUAAAGGAUGAAACAUCCUUCAAUAUAGAUUUCUUAAUAAAUUUUAAGAGAACUAACAGAAAGUGGUUAUUUCAUUCAUGGUUAUUAAAUCAAAAUUUGAAUUAGAUCAUCACUGGUCCAAAAUAAACUAUCGUCAUUUCAAAUUGAAGCAUGAAACCGUGAAUGGAUGCAUCCUUAAAUAAAAGGAUACAUUUUUAUUAUAUAUGACACUGUUUAAUUAGAUAUAUCUUUACAGUCAGGACACAUUUUUAGAGCACCAUUUAUAUUGAAAAUAUUCCAGCAUAAAAUAUGUCUCUCUCCUUAUACGAGUAUUUUGCAAAUAAUUUGCAAAUAAUACAGAGCCACCACGAGUUCAAAAAUAAUAAAACAAUAACAUUGCUCACUUGCUGGACUGGGCUGGACUGGGCUGAUUGGGCUGGGCCUGCUUUCAUCAUCGCAUACACGGUGAGGGAAAUUGAAAUUGAUGAUGGCGUUGGCCGCUCAAUUCCUGCUUCGGAUUCCCCAACUCGGAAGGAAAAAUAUAAACUUUCCGUCGUAUAAGCAUCGCGGGAAUUAUCAGCCAUUGUUGUUGUCUUGCAAUUACAGCACCAAUGACAAUUGUUCUUCAACUUCUUCUUCUUCUUCUUCUUCUUCGAAGAAUUACUUAGAAUUGACGGACGAUGAGAUGUUUCGCGAAUGCUAAAUGGACGCGUACAAAUCGUCGGGACCAGGCGGUCAGCACCGCAAUAAGCGCGAAUCUGCCGUACGUCUCAAGCACGUACCGACCGGCGUCAUAGCACAUGCCGCCGAACACCGAUCGCAGCACAAGAAUCGCGCGUCAGCUUUGUCGCGCCUCCGCACUCUUUUGGCCCUCAAAGUGAGGAGCAGUGUGAAUCUUGAUGCGUAUUCGCCGCCGCCACAGCUUCUUCAAAUCCUUCCUCCUAAGUCUACUAUUAGAAGUUCAGAAGUUGGUCCACAAAUUGGACCUAACAAUCCUAAAUUUGCUUUGGUAUUACUCUAUUCACUCUUGCUUUGUUUUUUUGUUUUCUGUUAAAAUUUAAGUCAUCGUAAUGUUUUUU
rnacentral:lncRNA from 1 species